rnacentral:rRNA from 1 species
UACGUAGGGUGCGAGCGUUGUCCGGAAUUACUGGGCGUAAAGGGCUCGUAGGUGGCCAACUAAGUCAGACGUGAAAUCCCUCGGCUUAACCGGGGAACUGCGUCUGAUACUGGAUGGCUUGAGUUUGGGAGAGGGACGCGGAAUUCCAGGUGUAGCGGUGAAAUGCGUAGAUAUCUGGAGGAAUACCGGUGGCGAAGGCGGCAUCCUGGACCGACAUUGACGCUGAGGAGCGAAAGCUGGGGGAGCAAACGGG